rnacentral:rRNA from 1 species
ACGCUGGCGGCGUAGCUUAACACAUGCAAGUCGAACGAGAAUCUGCGGAAAGAGGAUUCGUCCAAUUGAAGCAGAGGACAGUGGCGGACGGGUGAGUAACGCGUGAGGAACCUGCCUUUCAGAGGGGGACAACAGUUGGAAACGACUGCUAAUACCGCAUAACGCGUAGAGAUCGCAUGGUCUUUACGCCAAAGAUUUAUCGCUGAAAGAUGGCCUCGCGUCUGAUUAGCUAGUUGGUGAGGUAACGGCCCACCAAGGCGACGAUCAGUAGCCGGACUGAGAGGUUGAACGGCCACAUUGGGACUGAGAUACGGCCCAGACUCCUACGGGAGGCAGCAGUGGGGAAUAUUGGGCAAUGGGCGCAAGCCUGACCCAGCAACGCCGCGUGAAGGAAGAAGGCUUUCGGGUUGUAAACUUCUUUUGUCAGGAACGAGUAGAAGACGGUACCUGACGAAUAAGCCACGGCUAACUACGUG